CCCAUAAGCAAAAUAAAACCAUUAUUUGCCUUCUCAAAUGACAAUUUCCAUUUUGUCUUACAACGAUAGUUCCAAUUAAACUUGUGUGGACGCAUUAGAGGUAGCAAUUGCUACAUGUGUAAAGGCUGACUUUUAAUAUAUCCGAUGAAGCACAGAUGAAACACAAUUAGCAUAAAGAACACAGGAUGUAUCAGAAACUGUAGAAGAGGCUUGACCCAAAAGCAGAGCAUCAGAGACGACUCAGUAAUGAAUGGCAACUUCAAUUACAGACUGCAAAAUAAGAAGCCACAAGAGAUCACAAAAGAAGAGAGAAUGGAUACUGAGCACCACAGGCAACAGGCUCCUGUACCUCCUCCUUGGUGAUAACAAUGAGAAGAGGGCCUGCCCUGGCUGAUGGAAGUCCGAAUGAUGGAUGCCACCUUUCUGAGGGAUUGCCUUUUGAAGAUGUCUUCAUUGUUGAAUUGUCAGAAGUAGAACAGUCCUAGUGCAAGGUUAUUCAGUUCCAUCUCACUGGCAAGGUAUGUGUUGACUGGCUGCCCCACAAUAUGCGACUUUCUUCUCUCCCCCCGCAUUAAGACCACCCAUUGCCUGACCCUGUGGCAGUCCUUGGGACAAGCUCCACUUCAAGUAACAGCAGGACUCAGAACAUUUUACCAGACCCGUCUCCAAGACCAGUAUUCUUUCUCAUCAAAUUUCCAUUCAGACUGGAGUACCCUGGAGCAAGAUUAUUAUAAAGGGUUUUUCUCCGCUUUGACACAUAGCAUUUUAUCUUCCUCAAAUGACCAGCCUUGGGGAUGGCGGACAGCAGCAUUCAAACCAAAGAGCUUAGCCCAAUGGCAACACACCAGAGUGAUGGGACAGAGGAGCAGUUUUCCUCUCAGUCAUGUAGUGUGAUCCGAAUACAAACCUGCUCUCAUCGAAGAAGUGGACUUUGAUAUAUUUGAAAAUACAAUGCAGAAAGGAAAGUGUGGAGAAUCCGCCAAAGGCCUUGACUAGGUUGUACCAUGUAAACAUUGUAGGUAUGCAUCUUAAUCCACCAAUGCCAGAAUAACAUUAAUUAUUCAAAUCAUUGAAAGCCUGAGGGACAAUUGGAGAAAUAUUAUUUUUAAUGCAGUACAUGGUUGCAGUCUGGAAUGCACUAUUUAAGACUCAAGAUUCAAGAUAGUUUAAUGUCAUUUCCAGUACACAAGUGUACUUACUUGCCUAAGCUCAUCACCCCUACUGGAGCAUAGGCUCCCACCAGUAGCUUAUCAGAAUCCUCUGCCACUGGGCUAAAUUUUCAAGCUGUCCUCAGCUAUGACCCAUCUUCUUGGCGUGUCCUUCCUCUCCCAGGGGUGAAGUCAUUGGAUGUCUGUUGGCAUUUCUGUAGGUUUUUACGGGAUGGGGUUGCUAGCCCCAUGCCCAACCCUCCUGCUUUUGCAGACAGGCUUGGGACCAUUCAUGGCGGAGUGUAAAGGAGAACAAAUUAAUUGUUACUCCAGAACCAAUGCAGCACAAAAAAAAACCAAUAAGAUAAAGAGCACAAUAAUAAAAAAACACAAUAAAUAUAAAUACAUAAUAUAGCUUAUAUACAUAGAUUGAUUACAUGUACAUAAAGUGACGCUAGGUGUUCUGACUGUGCACAACUACAUAUCGAUUUAAUAAAAGCACACACGCAGGAGAUGGGUUUAACUUUUGUACUCACAUUGUAGUGAGAGAGAGAACAAUGCAUGCAUAGACAGCAGUCCUUACAUAGUGCUAAAGGGGAGUCAUUGCUCUAAAAGAAAUAGAUCCAUACAUUACACUAGGCACAGUGUAUUAUAAUAUUAUACUGAAAUUUGUCCUCUACUAGCUUGUUUAUUAUGUUUUUUAAUUGUACUGCCCUGCACUGUUUUGUGCACUUUUUGUAGUCCUGCGUGGGUCUGUAGUCUGGUGUAGUUUUUGUGUUUUUUUAUAUACCGGUAGUCUUGUGUAGCCUUGUGCUGUCUCACAUAGUCUAGUGUAGUUUUUUGUCGUUUCAUGUAGCACCAUGGCCCUGGAGGAACGUUGUUUCGUUUUUAUUGUGUACUCUACCAGCAGUUUAGGGUCGAAAUGACAAUAAAAAGCAACUUGACUUGACUUGACUCGAGGAGUGUCUGUAUGUAAGGUGACUGUGGUGAACUACAUGUACCUGUCUGGACACGCCCCUCCCCCCCCCCGCUGACUGCUCCUGUAGCUCCUCCCACAGACCCCGGUAUAAAGGCGACUGGAGGCACAGAC